UGGGGAAUUUUGGACAAUGGGCGCAAGCCUGAUCCAGCCAUGCCGCGUGCGGGAAGAAGGCCUUCGGGUUGUAAACCGCUUUUGUCAGGGAAGAAAUCUUCUGAGUUAAUACCUCGGGAGGAUGACGGUACCUGAAGAAUAAGCACCGGCUAACUACGUGCCAGCAGCCGCGGUAAUACGUAGGGUGCAAGCGUUAAUCGGAAUUACUGGGCGUAAAGCGUGCGCAGGCGGUUUUGUAAGACAGAGGUGAAAUCCCCGGGCUCAACCUGGGAACUGCCUUUGUGACUGCAAGGCUUGAGUGCGGCAGAGGGGGGAUGGAAUUCCGCGUGUAGCAGUGAAAUGCGUAGAUAUGCGGAGGAACACCGAUGGCGAAGGCAAUCCCCUGGGCCUGCACUGACGCUCAUGCACGAAAGCGUGGGGAGCAAACAGGAUUAGAUACCCUGGUAGUCCACGCCCUAAUCGAUGUCAACUGGUUGUUGGGAAGGUUCCUUCUCAGUAACGUAGCUAACGCGUGAAGUUGACCGCCUGGGGAGUACGGCCGCAAGGUU
rnacentral:rRNA from 1 species